rnacentral:tRNA from 11 species
GACCUGGUAGCUCAGCAGGUAGAGCACCUGACUUUUAAUCAGGGGGUCGCGGGUUCGAAUCCCGCCCGGGUCACCA